CCUACGGGAGGCAGCAGUGGGGGAUAUUGCACAAUGGGGGGAACCCUGAUGCAGCGACGCCGCGUGGGUGAAGAAGGGCCUCGGCGCGUAAAGCCCUGUCAGCAGGGAAGAAAAUGACGGUACCUGAAGAAGAAGCACCGGCUAACUACGGGCCAGCAGCCGCGGUAAUACGUAGGGGGCAAGCGUGAUCCGGAUUUACUGGGUGUAAAGGGGGCGCAGACGGCGAUGCAAGCCAGGAGUGAAAGCCCGGGGCCCAACCCCGGGACUGCUCGUGGAACUGCGUGGCUGGAGUGCAGGAGGGGCAGGCGGAAUGCCUGGUGUAGCGGUGAAAUGCGUAGAUAUCAGGAGGAACACCGGUGGCGAAGGCGGCCUGCUGGACUGCAACUGACGUUGAGGCCCGAAAGCGUGGGGAGCGAACAGGAUUAGAUACCCUAGUAGUC
rnacentral:rRNA from 1 species